rnacentral:rRNA from 1 species
CGCGUGUGUGCAGAAGGCUUUCGGGUUGUAAAGCACUUUCAGUGAGGAAGAACGCCUUCGGGUUAAUACCCUGGAGGAAAGACAUCACUCACAGAAGAAGCACCGGCUAACUCCGUGCCAGCAGCCGCGGUAAUACGGAGGGUGCGAGCGUUAAUCGGAAUUACUGGGCGUAAAGCGCGCGUAGGUGGCUUGAUAAGCCGGUUGUGAAAGCCCCGGGCUCAACCUGGGAACGGCAUCCGGAACUGUCAGGCUAGAGUGCAGGAGAGGAAGGUAGAAUUCCCGGUGUAGCGGUGAAAUGCGUAGAGAUCGGGAGGAAUACCAGUGGCGAAGGCGGCCUUCUGGACUGACACUGACACUGAGGUGCGAAAGCGUGGGUAGCAAACAGGAUUAGAUACCCUGGUAGUCCACGCCGUAAACGAUGUCGACUAGCCGUUGGGGUCCUUGAGACCUUUGUGGCGCAGUUAACGCGAUAAGUCGACCGCCUGGGGAGUACGGCCGCAAGGUUAAAACUCAAAUGAAUUGACGGGGGCCCGCACAAGCGGUGGAGCAUGUGGUUUAAUUCGAUGCAACGCGAAGAACCUUACCUACCCUUGACAUCGAGAGAACUUUCCAGAGAUGGAUUGGUGCCUUCGGGAACUCUCAGACAGGUGCUGCAUGGCUGUCGUCAGCUCGUGUUGUGAAAUGUUGGGUUAAGUCCCGUAACGAGCGCAACCC